GUGGGGAAUCUUCCGCAAUGGACGAAAGUCUGACGGAGCAACGCCGCGUGAGUGAUGACGGCCUUCGGGUUGUAAAGCUCUGUGAUCGGGGACGAAUGGCUGGUGUGCUAAUACCACAUCAGAGUGACGGUACCCGAAUAGCAAGCCACGGCUAACUACGUGCCAGCAGCCGCGGUAAUACGUAGGUGGCCAGCGUUGUCCGGAAUUAUUGGGCGUAAAGCGCGCGCAGGCGGCUUCUUAAGUCCAACUUAAAAGUGCGGGGCUUAACCCCGGGAUGGGAUGGAAACUGGGAGGCUGGAGUAUCGGAGAGGAAAGUGGAAUUCCUAGUGUAGCGGUGAAAUGCGUAGAGAUUAGGAAGAACACCGGUGGCGAAGGCGACUUUCUGGACGACAACUGACGCUGAGGCGCGAAAGCGUGGGGAGCAAACAGGAUUAGAUACCCCGGUAGUCC
rnacentral:rRNA from 1 species